rnacentral:rRNA from 2 species
AGCAUGGCGGCGUGCUAUACAUGCAGUCGAGCGAACUUUUGGGAGCUUGCUCCCAAAAGUUAGCGGCGGACGGGUGAGUAACACGUGGGCAACCUGCCUAUAAGACUGGGAUAACUUCGGGAAACCGGAGCUAAUACCGGAUAACAUAUGAGACCACAUGGUCUCAUAUUAAAAGAUGGCUUUUAGCUAUCACUUAUAGAUGGGCCCGCGGCGCAUUAGCUAGUUGGUGAGGUAAUGGCUCACCAAGGCGACGAUGCGUAGCCGACCUGAGAGGGUGAUCGGCCACACUGGGACUGAGACACGGCCCAGACUCCUACGGGAGGCAGCAGUAGGGAAUCUUCCGCAAUGGACGAAAGUCUGACGGAGCAACGCCGCGUGAGCGAAGAAGGUCUUCGGAUCGUAAAGCUCUGUUGUUAGGGAAGAACAAGUACCGUUCGAAUAGGGCGGUACCUUGACGGUACCUAACCAGAAAGCCACGGCUAACUACGUGCCAGCAGCCGCGGUAAUACGUAGGUGGCAAGCGUUAUCCGGAAUUAUUGGGCGUAAAGCGCGCGCAGGCGGUCCUUUAAGUCUGAUGUGAAAGCCCACGGCUCAACCGUGGAGGGUCAUUGGAAACUGGGGGACUUGAGUGCAGAAGAGGAGAGCGGAAUUCCACGUGUAGCGGUGAAAUGCGUAGAGAUGUGGAGGAACACCAGUGGCGAAGGCGGCUCUCUGGUCUGUAACUGACGCUGAGGCGCGAAAGCGUGGGGAGCGAACAGGAUUAGAUACCCUGGUAGUCCACGCCGUAAACGAUGAGUGCUAAGUGUUAGAGGGUUUCCGCCCUUUAGUGCUGCAGCAAACGCAUUAAGCACUCCGCCUGGGGAGUACGGUCGCAAGACUGAAACUCAAAGGAAUUUGACGGGGGCCCGCACAAGCGGUGGAGCAUGUGGUUUAAUUCGGAAGCAACGCGAAGAACCUUACCAAGUCUUGACAUCCUGUAUGUACCACUUCCUAAGAAGAUAGGAGCUUUCCCCUUCGGGGAACAUCAGUGACAGUGAUGCAUGAAUUGUCGUCAGCUCGUGUCGUGAGAUGUUGGGUUUAAGUUCCCGCAACGAGCCGCAACCCUUUGAUUCUUUAGUUGGC